AAAAAACGGAAGAAUGAUAAGAGGGAUAAGAGAAAGUAGGCAUUUUGGGUUAUCUAUACAUGUUUAAAUAGAAGGGUGGGUAAUAGGAAUGUAAUUGUUUUGGUUAGUGUUUAGAUUAAAUUGGUAAAUGCAGCAGUAAUAACGAGUGUUUGGGUUAAAUUGGUAGAUACAGCAGUGAUAUUGUGUUUAUCUGUGAAUCAGGAGUGUGCUGGAUGUGAAGAGAGGUGUGUAGGUAUUUAUCCAAACGCCAUAGGAAAAAAUAUGGUUAAGACACCACAAUCAAAUGGUACUUGUGAUGAUUGGCACAGUUAUUAUUUAUGUUUGUGUUCGUCAUUGCCUGUGUUUUCAUUCAAGAACUUUCAUGCAAGGAUAUUUUAAGCUGAAGAAGAAGCAGCACUGGACACUAUGCUCAACUGUUGCUGUAAGGAGAAAAAAUAUUGCAGCUAAGAGUGGUGAGAGUCGGAACAAAUGCAUCAGGAGCAGG